GCUGCCAGCGGGGAGCGCCGAGGGGAUCCAGGUCGGGGGUCACGGACAGAGGGGGGGUCCCCAGCCGCCACACCACCCACCCACCGCAGUUCACUUAGGAGCGGGCUCCUGGGUGUCUCUGGCAGGGCCUCGCGGGGCCCCGUCCAGGGCGUCGAGGACAGGAGAGCGGGAAAGCAGGGCAGUGCUCGGCCGGACGUCACCCCGGGGGGCCGCGCCCGCGGGUGGCGGGCUCCAGAGGGAUUUUCGCAGCAAGGAGGCUGCAGCGGGCCCAGCCUGCGGACGCGGCCCCCCUCGCGGCACUGCGGCCCAGGGGCUGGCGCGGAGAGGGCCCACAGCGGGCUUGCUCGCGCUGUACGCCCUAACCGCUCAGCCCCUGGGUCCGGCACGGCAGACAGGACAGCACCAGGGGAGUCAAGGGCACGGGGCGAAGCCAGACCGGGCGAGGCAGGCGGGGCAGCGUAAGUGCAAUCUCUAGGGAGGGAGGUCGGGGCGCAGGCAGGCGGGGCGAGGCGAGGCCGCGGGUGGCGAGCGGCGAGGGACCGGCCCCCGGAGCCCGCGGCCAAGGCGGGCCUGGCGGGCGGCGACAGAGAAGGGACCGGUGCCUCUCGCGCUCGGACUGGAGACGAGGCCAGGUCUCCAGCAGGGGUGGACGGGCCAGUCAGUCUUAAAGGCCAGGACGUCAGUGCAAUGAAUCUACUUGAACGAUAUGACAUGGUCCGGUGGGACGGUGAGGGCAGAGGCGGGGCUGCCGUCCAGCUUUCCGGAACAACCUGGCUGGCACCGCGCGGGACGCUGCCACACCAACGUCUGUUCCUGGGCUUCUCCACAAGAGCUCACACACACACCCACGGCUGCUCUCUGGGCACACCCUUCCCCCCCUGAAACCCUCAAGAUGAAAAGACAUGGUGCUACCCAGCUCACGUCUGGGCCCUCGAACCCGGGGACUUCUUCAAGUCCGUCUAGCUCUGGAUCAAGAAAUAUGCUGCACUCAGGAAACAUGACACACGACACAACUUGCCUCAGGAAUCAACUCUUCAGGGUGAAGCCAAAGGAACAGACCGCGUGAACACCGUGGAAGAGCAGACCCACAGCAGCCACCCCCCACGGCCCCAUCUUCGUGGCCGACCCCCGCCCCGCCCAGGAGGGCGCCCCCCCCCCACGCGGCAUCCCGGCCCCGGGGUGCCGCCACCGCCUCCCUCCUCUCUUCUUCUUGUUCAGCCUUUCCUUUGUGUUCUUGUUUCUCGUCUUUCCUUCCUUCUUCACUUGAGAGACUCCAGGCGUCCACGACUCUGUUUCCCCACCCGUCCUUUCUCAGUUAAUUUGCACUAAGUCUUUUGCACUGGUUUGGAGUUCUGGAGACAGCCUCGAGUCUCUCCGCGCGAGUGUGUAGCGAGUGUGCGCGUGUGCGCGCGGGCCCCUUUGGCCCGCCUCUCCGUCCGUCCGUCCGUCCAUCCACGCAUCUCUGUGGGUGCCCGCGGGUGGGCUGUGUGCCUGGGGCCUCGACCCUCCCUCGCCGAGUCUGGACGCUCCACAACACCGGAGCUUCCUCCAAACAUUCCAUUACGCCCCACUUUGCCCCGGGCCCCUCCCCACCAGGCCUCACCAGAGGCCCUGGACUCAUCAAUAAACUCACAGUCACGGUC